AUGGCCAUGGAGACCUUGAGGGCAGUCGAUCUGGAAUCCAUGGACGCGAGUGCGGAGGAAUCCGACGGAAGUGAGUACUGGAUGGCCAGCGACAGCGAGGAGGAGGACAUACAGUGGCCCCAGACUCCUCCUGCCUAUGGCUACCCCGACGACGGCGAGUGGCGACCCGUCGUCCUCAUCGACCAAUUCGCCUACUUCGCCGACCGACACAACGCCACCACCGCCACCACCACCGCCGAGUUCCCGCGGUGGGUUCCAAACUCAAGGGCGCCAUCAAGUAAACGAGAAUACUUUGUCUACGACCCCCGCGCCGCCAAGCUCGACCACCUCCCGCACCCCGGCCGCCAACAUGAAUUCGAUGAGUACACGCUUGCCAUCGUGCGAAAGUGCAGCCAACACUGCCAAGGCACCAGCAGCACCACCACCACCCACCAGGACAGCAGAGCAUCCUUGCAGGAGCACCACUGUGACUGCACCUACGUCGUUGCCGCACAAGCUAUUUCGUUCACAAGUCCACAAACUUCUCACCUCUGCAUGUACCACUCUGAUACCAAGACCUGGAGCAAGAAGCCGAGCAUCCUCUUCUGCGACAUCCUCGACGAACAACCCAAGCUCCGUUGCCUAGAGCUCCCGAAGCGCAUCAUGCCGAAAAACGAAAUGGGGCGUGGCGAUCCAAGGUCUAUUCGGGACAUUGCUGUCGUUGGUAACAUCAUCAAGUUUGUCGAUAUGCAUGUUCACUUCGAUAGCUACUCUAAAACCUCCCAUCAUUGGAAGGCCGUCGCAUGGAGCAUCAGGAUCGGUAGCUUCUCUCGUGAGGAUUGGACCAGGGAUCACCACAUGAGAUCCACCCGGAUACCCCCUCCAUCAUCGCUGCAUCAGCUGAUGGUUGAUGCUGGCAUCAAGGCUGCCCACCCAACCUUGUCGACUCUCCGCGUUGGCCUGCCCAACAUCAGCCUACAGAAUGAUGACAUUGUUUAG
rnacentral:rRNA from 1 species